rnacentral:rRNA from 1 species
GAGUUUGAUCCUGGCUCAGAUUGAACGCUGGCGGCAGGCCUAACACAUGCAAGUCGAGCGGUAGAGAGAAGCUUGCUUCUCUUGAGAGCGGCGGACGGGUGAGUAAUGCCUAGGAAUCUGCCUGGUAGUGGGGGAUAACGCUCGGAAACGGACGCUAAUACCGCAUACGUCCUACGGGAGAAAGCAGGGGACCUUCGGGCCUUGCGCUAUCAGAUGAGCCUAGGUCGGAUUAGCUAGUUGGUGAGGUAAUGGCUCACCAAGGCGACGAUCCGUAACUGGUCUGAGAGGAUGAUCAGUCACACUGGAACUGAGACACGGUCCAGACUCCUACGGGAGGCAGCAGUGGGGAAUAUUGGACAAUGGGCGAAAGCCUGAUCCAGCCAUGCCGCGUGUGUGAAGAAGGUCUUCGGAUUGUAAAGCACUUUAAGUUGGGAGAAGGGCAGUAAAUUAAGUACUUUAGCUGUUUUGACGUUACCGACAGAAUAAGCACCGGCUAACUCUGUGCCAGCAC